CCUACGGGAGGCAGCAGUGAGGAAUAUUGGUCAAUGGGAGAGAUCCUGAACCAGCCAAGCCGCGUGAGGGAAGACGGACCUAUGGGUUGUCAACCUCUUUUGGCGGAGAACAAAACCCGGGACGCGUCCCGGACUGCGUGUACCUGAAGAAAAAGCAUCGGCCAACACCGUGCGAGCAGCCGCGGUAAUACAGAGGAUGCGAGCGUUAUCCGGGUUGAUUGGGUGAAAAGGGUGCGUAGGCGGUCUGUUAAGUAAGCGGUAAAAUUGCGGGGCUCAACCCCGUCGAGCCGUUGAAACUGGCAGACUUGAGUUGGCGAGAGGUACGCGGAAUGCGCGGUGUAGCGGUGAAAUGCAUAGAUAUCGCGCAGAACUCCGAUGGCGAAGGCAGCGUACCGGCGCCAGACUGACGCUGAGGCACGAAAGCGUGGGGAUCGAACAGGAUUAGAUACCCGUGUAGUC
rnacentral:rRNA from 1 species